GCUCAACCGAGGAAGUGCUUCGAAAACUGGUAAACUUGAGUGCAGAAGAGGAAAGUGGAACUCCAUGUGUAGCGGUGGAAUGCGUAGAUAUAUGGAAGAACACCAGUGGCGAAGGCGGCUUUCUGGUCUGUAACUGACGCUGAGAUUCGAAAGCAUGGGUAGCAAACAGGAUUAGAUACCCUGGUAGUCCAUGCCGUAAACGAUGAGUGCUAAGUGUUGGAGGGUUUCCGCCCUUCAGUGCUGCAGCUAACGCAUUAAGCACUCCGCCUGGGGAGUACGACCGCAAGGUUGAAACUCAAAGGAAUUGACGGGGGCCCGCACAAGUGGUGGAGCAUGUGGUUUAAUUCGAAGCAACGCGAAGAACCUUACCAGGUCUUGACAUACCAUGAAAAGCUUAGAGAUAAGUCUUUCCCUUCGGGGACAUGGAUACAGGUGGUGCAUGGUUGUCGUCAGCUCGUGUCGUGAGAUGUUGGGUUAAGUCCCGCAACGAGCGCAACCCUUAUUAUCAGUUGCCAGCAUUCAGUUGGGCACUCUGGUGAGACUGCCGGUGACAAACCGGAGGAAGGUGGGGACGACGUCAAAUCAUCAUGCCCCUUAUGACCUGGGCUACACACGUGCUACAAUGGUCGGUACAACA
rnacentral:rRNA from 1 species